rnacentral:rRNA from 1 species
GCGUAAGAGCUCGUAGGCGGCUUGUCACGUCGGGUGUGAAAGCCCGGGGCUUAACCCCGGGUCUGCAUCCGAUACGGGCAGGCUAGAGUGUGGUAGGGGAGAUCGGAAUUCCUGGUGUAGCGGUGAAAUGCGCAUAUAUCAAGAGGAACACCGGU